AAGCGGCAACAGCUCAAAUUUGAAAUCUGGCGCAAGCCCGAGUUGUAAUUUGUAGAGGAUGCUUCUGGCCAGCGGCCGUUCUAAGUUCCUUGGAACAGGACGUCAUAGAGGGUGAGAAUCCCGUAUGUGACCGGCGCGCAGCCUUUACGUAGCUCCUUCGACGAGUCGAGUUGUUUGGGAAUGCAGCUCUAAAUGGGAGGUAAAUUUCUUCUAAAGCUAAAUACCGGCCAGAGACCGAUAGCGCACAAGUAGAGUGAUCGAAAGAUGAAAAGCACUUUGGAAAGAGAGUUAAAAAGCACGUGAAAUUGUUGAAAGGGAAGCGCUUGCAACCAGACUUCGUAGCGAUGUUCCGCUGGUCUUCUGACCGGUCUACUCAUCGUCGCGAGGCCAACAUCGUCUGGGGCCGCUGGAUAAGACCUAAGGAAUGUAGCUUCCCUCGGGAAGUGUUAUAGCCUGUGGUGAUGCAGCGUGUCUCGGGCGAGGUCCGCGCUUCGGCAAGGAUGUUGGCGUAAUGGUUGUCAGCGGCCCGUCUUGAAACACGGACCAAGGAGUCUAACAUCUAUGCGAGUGUUCGGGUGUCAAACCCCUACGCGUAAUGAAAGUGAACGGAGGUGGGAAGCGCAAGCUGCACCAUCGACCGAUCCUGAUGUCCUCGGAUGGAUUUGAGUAAGAGCAUAGCUGUUGGGACCCGAAAGAUGGUGAACUAUGCCUGAAUAGGGUGAAGCCAGAGGAAACUCUGGUGGA
rnacentral:rRNA from 1 species